GGCCUCCCUCUUUGGGGUGAUCGAUCAUGGGGCUCCGCGAUCAAUCGCCCAGCAGAGGGAGGCC
rnacentral:pre_miRNA from 1 species